rnacentral:rRNA from 1 species
UACGGGGGGAGCAAACGUUGUUCGGAAUCACUGGGCGUAAAGGGCGUGUAGGCGGCUGAAUAAGUGGGAUGUUAAAUCCCCCGGCUCAACCGGGGACCUGCAUCUCAUACUGUUCAGCUCGAGCACAUCAGAGGAGACUGGAAUUCCCGGUGUAGCGGUGAAAUGCGUAGAUAUCAGGAGGAACACCAAUGGCGAAGGCAGCACUCUGGGACGUGACUGACGCUGAGACGCGAAAGCGUGGGGAGCAAACAGG